GCCCGGAUGGCGAAACUGGUAGACGCAUCGGACUUAAAAUCCGCCGGGGGCAACUCCAUGCCGGUUCGAUUCCGGCUCCGGGCACCA
rnacentral:tRNA from 3 species